AUCCACAUGACGAGUCCGAAAUAGGAUGAAAUGCGCAUCUUGGAU
rnacentral:hammerhead_ribozyme from 1 species